AAGUCGUAACAAGGUUUCCGUAGGUGAACCUGCGGAAGGAUCAUUUUUGUAUUAGUGAUUAUAACUUGUGAAUUGUAUUAAUGAUUUGUUUGAUUGACUAUAUCUUUAUAAAAUAGAAUACAACUUUUAACAGUGGAUCUCUAGGCUCCU
rnacentral:misc_RNA from 1 species